UGAUUUUUCAUAAACAUGGCUUUAGGGAAGAAUUUUGGUUUCUAGUCAUUUGAUUUUAAUAAGAUGUCUUCAACUGUGAUAUCCAUUAGAUGGUGGUGGUAAAUCCACCGUAGGACCUUUCUGGGAAGGGGCUGCAGGGCAGUCUCAGCAGUGUUCAGGCUGAGAGCGGAAUUAACUGCAGGAAGGUGAAUGCCCAGAUUCUUUAGUUCUGAGACUUGUGGUUCUUUUAUUUAUGGUGCCUAGAAUUAGAUGGCCACUUCUGCUUCUAUCCCUUUUGUGCAGCAGAUGUUCUUUGGAGUCCGACGAGUCACGAGGAAUUUGCGAUCUUUCAAACAUUGGGGAGCCUCUGAUAGAACUAUAAGUUUCCAUUUCUUGCCAGAUGGCAGGAAAUACCAUCUGAAUGAAGCAUAUACCGACUACCACAUUGCUUAUCCAGAUGUGUUUCCUCUUCUUUCAAAGGGCAGGUUUUCCUUGAUCUGUAUAGAAACCAAUAUGUAUAUAAAGAGAAACAGGAUUUUCACUGGUGGAGUCUUAGAGCCAUCAACAUUUCCUCUAAGCUGUUCGAGUAAUUUUCAGUUCUCUUUAGUCCCCUAGAUUAAAGAGCAAGUGUGUGGGAGGGUUGCAGCCUCCCAUUCAGUAUGAAGAUGUUCAUACCAACCCAGACCAGGACUGCUGCCUACUGCAGGUCACCACCCUCAAUUUCAUCUUUAUUCCAAUUGUCAUGGGAAUGAUAUUUACCCUGUUUACUAUCAAUGUGAGCACGGAUAUGCGGCAUCAUCGUGUGAGACUGGUGUUCCAAGAUUCUCCUGUCCAUGGUGGUCGGAAACUGCGCAGUGAACAGGGUGUGCAAGUCAUCCUGGACCCAGUGCACAGCGUUCGACUCUUUGACUGGUGGCAUCCUCAGUAUCCGUUCUCCCUGAGAGCCUAGUUACUGCUUCCUGUCCCUGAGGGCAGCCCUGAGCUAGGCCAGUCCAUUAGUAAUCAGAUUCCAGUUUGGAAGGGGUGUCUGGAUUGUAUAUCUGGUUAGUAAUGCACAUGCUCUUCCGGUUCCCAGGGCUCCUGUUAGGGGAAGGAGAAGGAUUGAAUCAAGAGGAAAAACAACUAUGAUUUAUAAACAUAUUUUAAUGUAAAAAUUUGCAUUUGAAAGGAGAAACCUGGCCCUAUUUUCUGUGUUAAACCCGAUUUGGUGCUAUUGAGUUUGUUGUUCUUUAUUCUUUUAUCCCAGCAAAAAUGGAUGAUCUUGCUCUAGGGAAAAAUUAAACUCAUCCAUCUCCAAACAAGGAAGUUUCAGCAUUCCCUUGUGAUCAGAGAGGAGCCUUCGAGGCCUGAAAUUGUUGCUACUAUUGCUUCCCGUUAAGCUGCCCCUCAAAUUCAAGUGAAUAUUUUCUCUUCUCCCUUUACCCUUCUCCAUAAAUAAAGCAGGUGACAGGGUUUUCAGAAUCUUA